rnacentral:rRNA from 1 species
ACACCGGCAGCUCUAGUGGAUGCUGUUUUUAUUGGGCCUAAAGCGUUUGUAGCCGGUUUGGUAAGUCGCUGGUGAAAUCCUGUAGCUUAACUGUGGGCAUUGCUGGUGAUACUGUUGAACUUGAGGUCGGGAGAGGUUAGCGGUACUCCCAGGGUAGAGGUGAAAUUCUGUAAUCCUGAGAGGACCACCUGAGGCGAAGGCGGCAAACUUGAGGGAACCUGGCGGGUGGGGGCGCGUACUGUGGGCGCGAACCGGAUGAGAUUCCAGAGGAGGCUUAACCGGAGAGUGUGCGGAGUUCGUGUCAGGAUGGCGUUGAGCGUCUUCGGUGCGGAAAGGAUGGUGUUAACUCAGGCGGCUGGGAAGUUCGGUCGCAAUACGGAGACUUAAAAGCAUUGAUGGGU